GGGGCUGUAGUAUAACUUGGCCAGACAUGGCAAGGGCAUUGCCUUUGAGCCAAUAUCCGCGGUUCGGGACUGCGUGGUGGGGGUUCAAAUCCUCCCAGCCCCA
rnacentral:tRNA from 1 species